rnacentral:lncRNA from 1 species
AGUUAUGGGCGUGGCUAGAGCUGGAUGGAGGUUGAUUGACACUCCCCAACCCCCCACCUCCGAUCUCCAAGCGGAGUUUGUCGGCAGCAACAGGCACGGUCUCCAGAAGAAGGUGUGUGCAACCAUACCUUUAAUCCCAGAUGACCUUGAACUCAGAGAUCUCCUUAUCUUAAUCUUCUGGAAUUCAUAGCCACUAUACCUCAAGAUCUCCAUGCCAAGAUCCAGGUCAGAAACUUGUAUCUCCCAGCCUCCAGAUUAGGAUCACAGCAUGGGGCCUGCUGGGACUCGUCUCCUGCUAUGCUUCAGCUCCUGCCCAAUCACUUACCUGUGCCAGGAGAAGCCUCUGGACAUGCCUGGGCAGCCUCUGGACAUGCACUGCUCCCAUUCCUCGCUGAGAGGGCAUCUCCCCGAGUGCCUCUCCAUCCCAGUAGACUCUCCAGAUGUGCCCAGUCCUCAACUGGUGUGGCCUCACCAGAGAGACUCAGACCAAACAGGCCUCCACAGCCUCUCUCUAGACACUUUCUGGGAAACCACAGUGGAAUACAAAAGGGCACCAACUGUUCUGAUCUCUUGAAGAGCUCCUCAGGCAACCUUCUGUUUCUAGCAAGAUGAUACACCCAAGCCUUGAUGACAAGGCUUGGCUCUCAACCUCCUUGCUCCCCACCUCCUGUGAAAUACACAAAGAAAUUCAGUGAUCAUCGGGGAUGCUCUGGUCCAAACACUACCUGCCAGCCAGACGCAGGAGAUGGAUGGCUCAGCAGUAAUCGUGCUGCUUGAGCUUGGUGUCUAAUGGGGACAGUAGUGACAGGAAGUUCACAGGGACUGGAAGACAUGAGUUCUCUGAGGGAAAGGAAGGUGAAGCCUGGUGCUUAGGACCCUCAGGAGACCAUAGGAUGUGAGAAGGCUCAAGACACCCAGAGGUGGGGUCAGAAACAGGGCAAAGGAGACCAAGCAUGGGAGAGCUGCAGUGGACGUGUACAGACAGGAGAAGCAGGCCCUAAAGAAUCCCUGAGGCGGCAGAGAGGCUGGGCUGUGGAACUUUUUAAUUACUUUGCAUUAGGGGACUGUAGAGACCCAGAAGCCCACCCUUCCCCUCCCCUCAUCAGCUUAGCCCCAACAUAUGGUGGCUACCAAAGUAGUUAAAUCGGCUCUUGGUAGAAAAGGAAAGAGAUUCCUCCCAGGCUCUUCCCAGGGUCCACGGCCACACUCCAGGAGGGCUCAACUCCAGGGCAAGGCAGCUGGGACAGCAGGCAGCUGAAGGAGGACUAUUACUGCACCUUAGGGAAGAGUGCAGUGGCGAGUGGGGAGGACUCUGCUGGGACCCGGGGGUCAUGUGCAUUCCCAUUUAGUUGAGCUCUGCUUAAUCCGGGCCUAGGCUCACAGUAAUGGGGAACGAGGAGAGGCUCCCAUCAGAGACCAAGAAGAUGACAGACUCUCUGUAAAGGCUGUCAGAGGGGUCUGCAUGACCAACCACACCUGCUCCUGUUCCUUUGGGGCUCUUGUGACCUCCCUGUCUUCUUGUGAGAUCUUAUGUUCCUCCAACCCUGAGAGCUACAAACCAAUCUCCGGAAUAAAAAAAUCUGUCCCUCGU